CACCAACGCAGUUUGUUGUAAAAGCCUCUCUGCUUCAAAAGCCUCGUUCGGCACAUCCCUAGCUUGUCGCCGCCUACUGGAACUACAAAACCCACCCAAUGUACUCUUUUUGAGAAGAAAAGAGGCUGGAAGUAUGGGAAGUUCAGCGAGGGGCCACAGACUCCCAGACCUAAAUCCUGUUGCACUGAUAAGCUGCACCUUGGUGGGCCGUGCUGUUCAUUCAGGAGCCCAAAUCAGCAGGACUCAAACAGUAUCCGUGGGAGAGAGACGCUGGCUGCAUUUCACUAUUUAUUAUCAGACCAUUGCUUUUAUGGGCGGUGUUAAUUUUAGCUCUGAGAAAGCUGAAAAGCCUUCAGGUAGCCAAGGACAAACAAAGUGAUCUGCACAUAUUCCCAGACGAUGUAUGCAACCAUUAUUCCAAAAGUGACUAGAUAACCAUCAGAAUUGUCCACCAGACAGUGAAGUGUUGCUUGAGGCUGAGCGCUGCACACAACCUGCAUUUACGGCCAUAGAAGAUGGAGACUUUCAUUGAAAGUGACAAGGGAAGGUCCAGACGGAUAGCUUUACUUGAGAUAUGUGAUGCUGUGGGGUUUGACUCAGAUGGGGAAUAGUUUGAACUAUUUAUGUGAGAGGUGCUCACAACAAGAGUCAGACCAUACAUGAAAUGUUCUGCAAUGUCAACAAUGCCGAAUGUAGGGCAGCCGAGAAUUCCCAGUGACAACAAAAGUAAGUCUAUGUCAGCUUUUGACAACAAAAAGAUGUUGAGGUUUGUGCUGUUUGUUUGCCCCACAAAACUAGCUGUCUCAUUGCAAAAUGUGAUAUUAGAAAAUUUUAAAGUACAGCAACUGAAAAUGCAGAUGUUUAGAUGCAUUAUAACAGAGCUUCUUUAACAACAGAGGGUAUGCACGUGACGUCACCGUCGGCCGGAGGGACUGCGGUUACGCUCACUAAGUGGCACAAAGACUGAGAAGCAGCAUUGGUUUUCAGCCUAAAUGCUGAGAAAACCACACAAAACACAUCUAAAAUGGGAUAGAGCUUUGCGAUUGACUGU